GGUGGCUCAGUGGUAGAGCGCUUGCCUUGCAUGUACGAGGCCCUGGGUUCAAUUCCUCAGCACCA
rfam:Dipodomys ordii contig_34357, whole genome shotgun sequence.